rnacentral:rRNA from 1 species
AGAGCGAACGCUGGCGGCAGGCCUAACACAUGCAAGUCGAGCGCCCCGCAAGGGGAGCGGCAGACGGGAGAGUAACACGUGGGAACGUACCCUUUGGUUCGGAACAACACAGGGAAACUUGUGCUAAUACCGGAUAAGCCCUUACGGGGAAAGAUUUAUUGCCAAAGGAUCGGCCCGCGUCUGAUUAGCUUGUUGGUGAGGUAACGGCUCACCAAGGCUACGAUCAGUAGCUGGUCUGAGAGGAUGAUCAGCCUCACUGGGACUGAGACACGGCCCAGACUCCUACGGGAGGCAGCAGUGGGGAAUAUUGGACAAUGGGCGAAAGCCUGAUCCAGCAAUGCCGCGUGGGUGAAGAAGGUCUUCGGGAUUGUAAAUCCCUUUCGGCGGGACGAUGAUGACGGUACCGCAGAAGAAGCUCCGGCUAACUUCGUGCCAGCAGCCGC